CGGCCUCGUCUUCAGACUCCUCAAGAAAGCCGAGGUCGAGUUCGGGGAACUUGCUGGCCACCUUCUCUUGGCAGAGCUCGAACCCCUUGGUGAAUGCCUCCUGGCCGAACUGGACGUUCAGUUCCCUCAUCUCCGCGGAGGCCUUGAAUUCCUCCACCGCAAGGGCCCUGGCCUCCGAGACCAGGACCGGAGUUUGCUCGACCAAAUGGGCGACCUCGGCCUCCGCCUUCCUCGCCGACUCCUCCAACAUCCGUCUCUCCUCUUCC
rnacentral:lncRNA from 1 species